UACUGCAUGUUGGAAGCCAGGGCCCUGUCUUACAAUGAGGAUGAGAGAAAACAAGCUGAGAAAAGGCAUGCUACGGCCACAGGGGCUGUUUUGUGUAGGGACAGGGAGAGGACUUAAACACAGGAAGUUUAAGUCCCUUCCAUCAUGCUAAUCCUGGGCCCUUCUUCAGAUACCUGACCGUGCCACCUCAUGUCCUUGGCCAAGCUGCCCAAACCCUCAUGCCUCAGCCUCCUUGUCCAUAUCACUCUGUCCUCUGGCAGGCGUUGUGUGUGCAGGCACGGAUUUAAGUGGCUCAGUGUCCUCCAUUCAUCCCUGUCUCUUGCUCUCCCGCUGCGGUGCUGACAACUCAUAUAUUCCCGGCAUUGCACUGUGGUUUCUCUCUGGCUUUGGGAGCCCAUGUGCCAAAUACUGCUGAUCAGCCUGCUGACCAGCUGCAUCUGGUGCAUCCAAAGCCAGCCAGAAGCUGUGGAGCGUAUGCUCCUCUGUGAUGGCUGCCUGGUGCUGAUCACAGAACAUGGGUCAGGCUGGUGGUGCAGGGAUCAGGCAGAGACCAGCUCUGUCACCCACAUCCCACAUCCAGUUCUAUGCUCAGUGAGCAAGCUACCAGCCCCUGACACCAAUGUGGGGAUCAGCUCUGAAACUGAGGGGCUUAUGCUGCUCUCUGUCCACCUGCAGCACAGCAAAGACUUUCUAAAAUGGGAGCGUGUAUCUAGACCCUCCUUAACAGUCUUCUGCUCUGUCCUGAACAUGGUGUGGCCAACUGGGGAGUUGCUCUGGGAAGCAUGAACUGGGUGUAUCCAUGUCAUAUUACAAAUCCCAGGUUAAGCAUAGACCUUCUUUGCCUUCUCUCUCUGCCUUUUGCCUCUGUGCUAAUCUGAACUCCAUAGCAAGCAGCAAAAGAAAUUCCUGCACCUGGCCCAGAGUCCACAGUAAUGGUACUGACAUUUGGAUGAUCAUACACUGGGGCAGAGCAUGCUUGGGCAAAGGAGUGGCCUCCUAACUUGUUUUCCCAGCCUGAGCUGGUGGUAAUUAAGCAACAGAUGAUGUGACUGGGAUUUUGAUCACCUAUUAAUGCUAAUCAGGUAGGUCAGCCGAAACAGAGGGUGUGAUAUUUCAAAAGAGGCCCUUCAAGGGCCCCUUUCAGGAAAGGGGGUUUGGAGCUGGGGUUAUACUGGGUGGUUUAGCAUGAGGCUUGGGUAUGUGUAGUGGAGGAACAGGUUUCUAACCUGUGGAAGAUUGUUGUUAGUUUCAGAAAUGUCUCAGGGUCUUAAAGGAAUGGCAGCAGGGUUUUGCUUUGUGUUGGUUGCUUUUUUUACUCUGUUGCAGAGCUGAUGCUCACAAGCAUCAACACCUUCCAAGCACAAGCCAAAACUCCUGGGGAAGUGGAGCCAAGGGAAGAGCAGAGCUCUCUCCCUCUUCAAGCAUGCACUGGGCAAUGGAGCCAGAGAGUGUUAGGACACGAGUGGUGCCCUGGAGGUGCAAGAGCAGCAGGCAAGAACAGAGCCCAAAGGGGAACCCUGACAAAGGGCUGUGCUUAAUGCUACAGAGGACAAUCAGUAACCCCCUAGAGCUACCCUGGGAGUCAUGAAAGCUUCCUUCUCUCAGAUGCAGGGUGCAAGGGCCACCUUCCCUCUGCCAAAUUCUAGCUUCUGUUUUUCUUGCUUCCCACUGGAGUUAGAAGGAGAUUGUGAUGCCUCCUAAGAGCCUGCGCCUUCCCUGACUCCUGUCCACACUCACUGCUUGACACCCCCUCUCCUCCCUGAGGUGACCAACAAGUAGGGUGCCACACUUGAAGAGCAGAAGCAGACAUCUUCAAGAGCUCAUGGGACAUUUACUUUGAAAUGGUAGGGAAGGUCAUGGCAGCUGAAGACUACUGAGAUCAGCAGGUGGGCAAUGGAGUUGCCUGGCAAUGUGAUCACUGUCCCGAAAGGACUUCCUUGAGCAAGAAAGUGUACAGGGAAGCAAAUGAUGUCAAAAAGCAGUUACAGCUGAAUGAUCAUGUACUGUGAUAAAGCCAGGACCUUAACUUUGCCAUGGAGAGGACUGUGCAGGGACCAGGGAGCUAGGACCCCCAUAGGGCAGGACUGGGAAGAGACUUUGAGACCUCUCUGUGAAGUCACUUGAAGGCACAGAGAACACAGCUUGCUUUGUAGGGGACAGGACAGGGUGUGAACAGAACAGCGGACUGGACAAGCUGGGUGUCUAGUUUAUGUGUACUGUUAACCUUUUUUGUCCCUAUACUCUGCUGGAAGCAUGAUGCAAGGUCAGACUCAGUAGUCCACACCAGGGAGUAAGAGCUCUGGAAAGGUCCCAUUAUCCUCCCCCACUUCUUGCUGUGCCAGUGCCAAAGCUCGUUCAGACACAGAAAUCUUCAGGAUCCGCCUGAACACUGCUUUUGGUUUGGGGAUGUUUUAAUUUUCUUUUUUGCCAGGUGACCUCAGUCCCAUUUAUUAUCUCCAUUUCUCCCCCACUCUUCUCAUUAUGGUAUACAACCUCUGUGUGUUGAAAGGCCGUAUGAACAAUUUAAGAAGAGCUUUCUCUGAGAUUUCACCCUAUCCUGGUAAACCAUGAACAGCUGUCCCUUGGAUUUCCAUUCUUCUUUACUUUAACCCAUGGCCUGUAUACCCUUCACCAUCUGCAGUGGGAGUGAGGAAUAGUUCAGAAGGGAACCUUAAUUCAUAGGGGGAGCUGCCUUCUUUUCCUUUUUUUUUCGUUUUCCUUCUCUUUUUUGCUUAGUUACUUCAUAAACUUUAGUUCCAGUUACCACUUAACUCUCAGCGGCAUUUCCAUAUCGCAGAGUUGUUGUUUCAUUCCAGGUUUUCAACAACUGAAAUAUAUCAUGGGAUUUCGUUGUAAUGCAGGAAAUUGCCUUCACAUUAACAAUCUGCCGCUUCUGUAAACAAGAAAUCCACUGAUGUGACAUGUCAGCGCUCAACAGGAGGAGAACUGACUACCUUAGCAAAAUGAUGCAUUCCUCAAUGAAAACCCCGGUGUUGGGACAUGUAAUGACACGAUUGCCUUCACUUAUUUUUAGGGCAGGGGCUAGGUACCUGCUCAGAAUAGUUGAAGGCAGAGGACAUGCACUGGACUCUCUCCAAGCCUGCUCUUUAUGUGCACUUUGCUCCCAAAGUUCCCCAAGGUCAUGGGGUUGCAUGUGGAGAUUUUUUUUUUCCCUUCCUUUAAUAGCAUAUUGAUGUGUACCAUAGUUGAUAAUAUAGCUUUUUUAGCCAAGCUCAGUUGUCUCUCA